rnacentral:rRNA from 1 species
CAGCCGCCACGGGAAUACAGAGGGUGCAAGCGUUAAUCGGAAUUACUGGGCGUAAAGCGCGCGUAGGUGGUUUGUUAAGUUGGAUGUGAAAUCCCCGGGCUCAACCUGGGAACUGCAUCCAAAACUGGCAAGCUAGAGUAUGGUAGAGGGUGGUGGAAUUUCCUGUGUAGCGGUGAAAUGCGUAGAUAUAGGAAGGAACACCAGUGGCGAAGGCGACCACCUGGACUGAUACUGACACUGAGGUGCGAAAGCGUGGGGAGCAAACAGGAUUAGAUACCCGUGUAGUCCCUGUCUCUUAUAC